GUCCGCUGCAGCUCACCGUUCCCACCGAUGAUGCUGCUCAACUGAGCGGCGGGAGCAGCCGAUAACAGUGAAUUCUUGACGGAUGGAAGGAGGCUGCCAGCGGUCGAGAUCAGCUGAAUCACGAUGCUGGUAAGAUCAGCAUUCACCGCCUGCUGCUGCGCAGCGAGCUCAUCCGGCUGGACCGGGAACUGGCCUCCAUGAUCGACGAUCGAUCGCACGAUACCCUGAACCUGGUGAAUCUUCUGCUCAAGGAAAGCAAGGUUGCUGAGCACCGCCCGCGGGUCCCAAUCAAUGGAUUGGUUGCCUGCGAGCUCCUCCGGGGCCGCCGGCAUGUUCACUUGAAAGGACCGAUCCUCCGGCGUGCCGCCGAAAUCAGCAAACACCCGCCCAACUCCCGGAUCAAAUCGGGGGAAGGACUGUGCCGGGUGGAGAUUCAUAGAAGGCACAUUCAUCAUUCUCGGAAGCUUUGACGGUGGCCUCAUCUUGUGACUCAUUCAACUCCGCCGAUCAAGAGCUCGUUGAUGGCUUGAUGUUGAGCUCAUUCAACGCGCCCAAGAUCCAAAUCUUGCUCUGCUCGUCAGGAUCCAGAGCGCUCCCCAUCGGCGCCGCUCUGCUU
rnacentral:misc_RNA from 1 species